AUGUCAUGAAACACCAAAGCUGAAAAUAGUUUUGAUAUGUGUCGGAAUCCUUUGUGCCAUUCUUGUUGUGUACGCUACAGUAAUAACGAUCAUGUUUAGACGUAAGACGACGCAUAACAUAAAAGAUGGGACUAAUGUCAGUUGCAGGGGAAGAUGCUAUGAUGAUGCUAAUGCAAAUGAAACUGUAACAGCUGAAGCAGCAACAGAACAAGCAAGAGUUGACGAUGAAUAUCAUCAAUAUACAGAUCUUACUCCCGAUACGAGAGAUGUCGGAGCAACAUAUGAAACUAUUCAACUUGAAUGACUAUUACUAUAAAAUAAGUAUUCAAGAACGUGUUUCGACAAGGUGUUAAGUGUACUCCUUUAUAAUCCAAUAAAUUGUUUAAUCCUUCAGAUUUGAUAUGACAAUGAUACGUCUUUAAUAGGACAUUGUUUUUUAAAAUAUAAUAUACGUUGCGUUGAAAAUUAUGUUAAAACAGCCACCAGGAUUGUGACACACUUCACUAUCAUUUAAAAGUGUCGUAAAAUUAAUUAAUCAUUUCAUAUUA